rnacentral:rRNA from 1 species
AGGUGCUGCAUUGGCUGUCGUCAGCUCGUGUCGUGAGAUGUUCGGUUAAGUCCGCUAACGAGCGCAACCCUCGCUGUGUGUUAUAUGUGUCACACGGGACUGCCGGUCUUAAGCCGGAGAAGGUGGGAUGAUGUCAAGUCAGCAUGGCCUUUAUAUCCUGGGCUACACACACGCUACAAUGGCCAACACAAUAGGUUGCUAAGCCGCGAGGUGGCGCCAAUCCAUAAAGUUGGUCUCAGUUCAGAUUGUAGGCUGCAACCCGCCUGCAUGAAGAUGGAGUUGCUAGUAACCGCAGGUCAGCUAUACUGCGGUGAAUACGUUCCCGGGGCUU